AUACUUAUCUGUACGUGGUCAAUUGGUGAUCAAAAUGGUCCAUGGCCUAAGUUGACGAUCUCUAUUGCAUUUAGGAGGGUCGCUCGAGGGCCAGCUGGUUGAACUUAUGUCAUAAUUUGUGGUAGUGGGGGCCAGCGUUCGAGCAACCCCUUC